CUGCAAGGAUGCCUCAGUACGGCGAGUGAAGCGGCAAAAGCUCAAAUUUUAAAGCUGACAUCUUCGGUGUCCGCGUUGUAAUUUUGUGAGGCAUCUCCGGGUAGGGCGCCGGCCUAAGUUCCUUGGAACAGGACGUCACAGAGGGUGAGAAUCCCGUGCUUGGCUGGCUGUCCCCGUCCAUGUGAGGUGUCUUCGACGAGUCGAGUUGUUUGGGAAUGCAGCUCAAAAUGGGUGGUAAAUUUCAUCUAAAGCUAAAUAUUGGUGGGAGACCGAUAGCGCACAAGUAGAGUGAUCGAAAGAUGAAAAGCACUUUGAAAAUAGAGUUAAAAAGUACGUGAAAUUGUUGAAAGGGAAGCGCUUGAGAUCAGACUUCGGUAAGGGGUGAUCAGCCGUCCUUCUGGGCGGUGCACUUGCCCCCCUCCGGGCCAGCAUCGGUUGAGGCGGCGGGAUAAAGGUCCCGGGAAUGUGGCUCCUUCACGGGAGUGUUAUAGCCCGGGUGAAUGCCGCCAGCUUCGACCGAGGACCGCACCCGCAAGGGUUAGGAUGCUUGGCAUAAUGGUCUUCAGCGACCCGUCUUGAACCACGGGACCCA
rnacentral:rRNA from 1 species